UAGCUAGCUUACGUACCUUUCAGUAACAGUUCCACCUCGUCCUCUCUCCAAGAUAAUAAAUCCCUGCUCUGACUUUUCACCGGUUAUGUUCUUUUUCCAAAGUAUUUCCUGUAUUUUCAACUUCUACAUCCAUUA